UGUGCUGUCUUAUGUGCUGGGAAGUUUUGUUGCCCUAACUCAGACUGACAAUGUUUGAACCAGCAGGUCUACAGCACAGUAACGUGCCAGCUGAACACUGAAGAACACACACACACACACACACACACCGUCCAUGAGGGCUUUGACGAGGCUAACCUAAAAUGACGUUCAGCUGCUAGGUGUGUGCUCUUACAACGCUACAGAGGAAUCAAUAUUUCACUUUUCAUAUUGUUACACUGCUCCGAAAAAAAGAGGAGGGAAAAAAACAGUUGAGCGUGAUCUGACACUGUUGUGUUGUUUCUCCUGUGCCAGGGAGAAGACUGAGACCUACCUUCUCAUCAAAAUCCCUGAAAGCAGGAGAAAACUAGGACGGAUAGAGGGAUAGAGAGGUUCAAAG
rnacentral:lncRNA from 1 species